rnacentral:rRNA from 1 species
GUACACUCCUACGGGAGGCAGCAGUGGGGAAUAUUGGACAAUGGGCGCAAGCCUGAUCCAGCCAUGCCGCGUGAGUGAUGAAGGCCCUAGGGUUGUAAAGCUCUUUCACCGGUGAAGAUAAUGACGGUAACCGGAGAAGAAGCCCCGGCUAACUUCGUGCCAGCAGCCGCGGUAAUACGAAGGGGGCUAGCGUUGUUCGGAUUUACUGGGCGUAAAGCGCACGUAGGCGGACUAUUAAGUCAGGGGUGAAAUCCCGGGGCUCAACCCCGGAACUGCCUUUGAUACUGGUAGUCUUGAGUUCGAGAGAGGUGAGUGGAAUUCCGAGUGUAGAGGUGAAAUUCGUAGAUAUUCGGAGGAACACCAGUGGCGAAGGCGGCUCACUGGCUCGAUACUGACGCUGAGGUGCGAAAGCGUGGGGAGCAAACAGGAUUAGAUACCCCUGUAGUCCCAU